CCCGUCCCUCACGUGGGCUCGCAGCUGGCCACGCCGUCGCCGCGGAAGCCGCGCUGGCAGCGGCACUGGAAGCUGCCGGGGCUGUUGUGGCAGCGCGCCCGCGGGUGGCACCGCGCCAGCCCCAGCGCGCACUCGUCCACGUCGGGGCACGCGCCGUACCACCACCGGCCGCGCCCGCGGUCACUCUGGUCACUCUGGUCACUCUGGUCACUCUGGUCACUCUGGGGGUCAGCCUGACCCUCAGCCUGACCCUCAGCCCGAUGGUCACUCUGGUCACUCUGGUCACUCUGGGGGUCAGCCUGACCCUCAGCCCGAUGGUCACUCCGAUGGUCACUCUGGUCACUCUGGGGGUCAGCCUGACCCUCAGCCUGACCCUCAGCCCGAUGGUCACUCCCAUGGUCACUCUGGGGGUCAGCCUGACCCUCAGCCCGAUGGUCACUCCCAUGGUCACUCUGGUCACUCUGGGGGUCAGCCUGACCCUCAGCCUGAUGGUCACUCCCAUGGUCACUCUGGUCACUCUGGGGGUCAGCCUGACCAUCAGCCUGACGGUCAUUCUGAUGGUCACUCCGAUGGUCAGCCUGACCCUCAGCCUGAUGGUCACUCCGAUGGUCACUCGGCUGGUCACUCUGGUCACCCGCGGGGUCAGCCUGACCCUCAGCCUGAUGGUCAUUCUGAUGGUCACUCCCAUGGUCACUCUGGGGGUCAGCCUGACCCUCAGCCUGAUGGUCAUUCUGAUGGUCACUCAGAUGGUCACUCUGGUCACUCAGCUGGUCAGCCUGACCCUCAGCCUGAUGGUCACUCGGCUGGUCACUUUGGGGGUCAGCCUGACUGUCAGCCUGGCCGUCAUUCUGAUGGUCACUCCGAUGGUCAGCCUGACCCUCAGCCUGAUGGUCACUCCGAUGGUCACCCAGCUGGUCACUCGGCUGGUCAGCCCAGUGGUCAUUCUGAUGGUCACUCAGCUGGCCACUCUGCUGGUCCUUCUGAUGGUCACUCCAGUGGUCACUCUGCUGGUCAGACUGGUGGUCACUUUGGUGGUCACUCUGCUGGUCACCGUGCUGGUCGUUCUGCUGGCCACCUUCCUGGUCACUCAGGUGGUCACUGUGGUCACUGUGGUCACUGUGGUCACUCCGCUGGUCACUCUGGUCACUCUGCUGGUCACUCAGCUGGCUGCUCUGAUGGUCAUUCUGCUGGUCACUUUGGUGGUCACUCUGCUGGUCACUCUGCUGGCUGCUCUGAUGGUCACUCUGCUGGUCACUCGGCUGGUCACUCAGCUGGUCACUCUGCUGGCUGCUCUGAUGGUCACUCUGCUGGUCACUUUGGUGGUCACUCUGCUGGUCACUCUGCUGGCUGCUCUGAUGGUCACUCUGGCGGUCACUCAGCUGGUCAUGGUGAUGGUCACCCAGCUGGUCACUCAGCUGGUCAGCCCAGUGGUCAUUCUGAUGGUCACUCAGCUGGCCACUCUGCUGGUCAUUCUGAUGGUCACUCCAGUGGCCACUCUGCUGGUCAUUCUGAUGGUCACUUUGGUGGUCACUCUGCUGGUCACCGUGCUGGUCGUUCUGCUGGCCACCUUCCUGGUCACUCAGGUGGUCACUCUGGUCACUGUGGUCACUGUGGUCACUCUGCUGGUCACUCUGGUCACUCAGGUGGUCACUCAGGUGGUCACUCUGGUCACUCAGGUGGUCACUGUGGUCACUCAGGUGGUCACUCUGGUCACUGUGGUCACUGUGGUCACUGAGGUGGUCACUCUGGUCACUCAGGUGGUCACUCAGGUGGUCACUCUGGUCACUGUGGUCACUGUGGUCACUCAGGUGGUCAAUCUGGUCACUCAGGUGGUCACUCUGGUCACUCUGGUCACUCUGGUCACUCAGGUGGUCACUCUGGUCACUCAGGUGGUCACUCAGGUGGUCACUGUGGUCACUCAGGUGGUCACUGUGGUCACUCUGCUGGUCACUCUGGUCACUCUGCUGGUCACUCUGGUCACUCAGGUGGUCAAUCUGGUCACUCCGCUGGUCACUCUGGUCACUCUGUUGGUCACUCAGGUGGUCACUGUGGUCACUCUGGUCACUCAGGUGGUCACUCUGGUCACUGUGGUCACUGUGGUCACUCCGCUGGUCACUCUGGUCACUCAGGUGGUCACUGUGGUCACUCAGGUCACUCAGGGCCACCGAGCAGUUGGGGAAGUCCCGGGGACCCGCGAAGUCGCCCUCCAAGCAGCUGGGAGAGAAAAUUCGGGAAUUUUGGGAAAUUUUGGGAAUUUUUGGGGGGUUUGGGUGGUAAGACGGGGGAAAAGGGGAAAAAAAUUGAAAUUG
ensembl:lncRNA